CAGCAUGAACUUAGCUUGCUAAGUUUGAUGGCGACCGGCGCACGGGUGAGUAACACGUAUCCAACCUGCCCACCACUUGGGGAUAGCCUUUCGAAAGAAAGAUUAAUACCUGAUAGUAUGGUGAGAUUGCAUGAUAGCACCAUUAAAGAUUUAUUGGUAAACGAUGGGGAUGCGUUCCAUUAGGUAGUAGGCGGGGUAACGGCCCACCUAGCCGACGAUGGAUAGGGGUUCUGAGAGGAAGGUCCCCACAUUGGAACUGAGACACGGUCCAAACUCC
rnacentral:rRNA from 1 species